GACGAACGCUGGCGGCGUGCCUAAUACAUGCAAGUCGAACGAACUCUGGUAUUGAUUGGUGCUUGCAUCAUGAUUUACAUUUGAGUGAGUGGCGAACUGGUGAGUAACACGUGGGAAACCUGCCCAGAAGCGGGGGAUAACACCUGGAAACAGAUGCUAAUACCGCAUAACAACUUGGACCGCAUGGUCCGAGCUUGAAAGAUGGCUUCGGCUAUCACUUUUGGAUGGUCCCGCGGCGUAUUAGCUAGAUGGUGGGGUAACGGCUCACCAUGGCAAUGAUACGUAGCCGACCUGAGAGGGUAAUCGGCCACAUUGGGACUGAGACACGGCCCAAACUCCUACGGGAGGCAGCAGUAGGGAAUCUUCCACAAUGGACGAAAGUCUGAUGGAGCAACGCCGCGUGAGUGAAGAAGGGUUUCGGCUCGUAAAACUCUGUUGUUAAAGAAGAACAUAUCUGAGAGUAACUGUUCAGGUAUUGACGGUAUUUAACCAGAAAGCCACGGCUAACUACGUGCCAGCAGCCGCGGUAAUACGUAGGUGGCAAGCGUUGUCCGGAUUUAUUGGGCGUAAAGCGAGCGCAGGCGGUUUUUUAAGUCUGAUGUGAAAGCCUUCGGCUCAACCGAAGAAGUGCAUCGGAAACUGGGAAACUUGAGUGCAGAAGAGGACAGUGGAACUCCAUGUGUAGCGGUGAAAUGCGUAGAUAUAUGGAAGAACACCAGUGGCGAAGGCGGCUGUCUGGUCUGUAACUGACGCUGAGGCUCGAAAGUAUGGGUAGCAAACAGGAUUAGAUACCCUGGUAGUCCAUACCGUAAACGAUGGAUGCUAAGUGUUGGAGGGUUUCCGCCCUUCAGUGCUGCAGCUAACGCAUUAAGCAUUCCGCCUGGGGAGUACGGCCGCAAGGCUGAAACUCAAAGGAAUUGACGGGGGCCCGCACAAGCGGUGGAGCAUGUGGUUUAAUUCGAAGCUACGCGAAGAACCUUACCAGGUCUUGACAUACUAUGCAAAUCUAAGAGAUUAGACGUUCCCUUCGGGGACAUGGAUACAGGUGGUGCAUGGUUGUCGUCAGCUCGUGUCGUGAGAUGUUGGGUUAAGUCCCGCAACGAGCGCAACCCUUAUUAUCAGUUGCCAGCAUUAAGUUGGGCACUCUGGUGAGACUGCCGGUGACAAACCGGAGGAAGGUGGGGAUGACGUCAAAUCAUCAUGCCCCUUAUGACCUGGGCUACACACGUGCUACAAUGGAUGGUACAACGAGUUGCGAACUCGCGAGAGUAAGCUAAUCUCUUAAAGCCAUUCUCAGUUCGGAUUGUAGGCUGCAACUCGCCUACAUGAAGUCGGAAUCGCUAGUAAUCGCGGAUCAGCAUGCCGCGGUGAAUACGUUCCCGGGCCUUGUACACACCGCCCGUCACACCAUGAGAGUUUGUAACACCCAAAGUCGGUGGGGUAACCUUUUAGGAACCAGCCGCCUAAGGUGGGACAGAUGAUUAGGGUG
rnacentral:rRNA from 1 species